rnacentral:rRNA from 1 species
CCUACGGGAGGCAGCAGUGGGGAAUAUUGGACAAUGGGCGCAAGCCUGAUCCAGCAAUGCCGCGUGAGUGAUGAAGGCCUUAGGGUCGUAAAGCUCUUUUACCAGGGAUGAUAAUGACAGUACCUGGAGAAUAAGCUCCGGCUAACUCCGUGCCAGCAGCCGCGGUAAUACGGAGGGAGCUAGCGUUGUUCGGAAUUACUGGGCGUAAAGCGUACGUAGGCGGUUAUUCAAGUCAGAGGUGAAAGCCCGGGGCUCAACCCCGGAACGGCCCUUGAAACUAGGUAGCUAGAAUCUUGGAGAGGUCAGUGGAAUUCCGAGUGUAGAGGUGAAAUUCGUAGAUAUUCGGAAGAACACCAGUGGCGAAGGCGACUGACUGGACAAGUAUUGACGCUGAGGUACGAAAGCGUGGGGAGCAAACAGGAUUAGAUACCCUGGUAGUCCACGCCGUAAACGAUGAUAACUAGCUGUCCGGGCACUUGGUGCCUGGGUGGCGCAGCUAACGCAUUAAGUUAUCCGCCUGGGGAGUACGGUCGCAAGAUUAAAACUUAAGGAAUUGACGG